GAUGAACGCUGGCGGCGUGCCUAAUACAUGCAAGUCGAACGCGGGCACUUGUGCCCGAGUGGCGAACGGGUGAGUAAUACAUAAGUAACCUGGCCUUUACAGGGGGAUAACUGCUGGAAACGGCAGCUAAGACCGCAUAGGUAGGGACACUGCAUGGUGACCGUAUUAAAAGUGCUGCAAGGCACUGGUAGAGGAUGGACUUAUGGCGCAUUAGCUGGUUGGUGAGGUAACGGCUCACCAAGGCGACGAUGCGUAGCCGACCUGAGAGGGUGACCGGCCACACUGGGACUGAGACACGGCCCAGACUCCUACGGGAGGCAGCAGUAGGGAAUUUUCGGCAAUGGGGGGAACCCUGACCGAGCAACGCCGCGUGAAGGAAGAAGGAAUUCGUUCUGUAAACUUCUGUUAUAAAGGAAGAAAGACGGAUGGAGGAAAUGACAUCCGAGUGACGGUACUUUAUGAGAAAGCCACGGCUAACUACGUGCCAGCAGCCGCGGUAAUACGUAGGUGGCAAGCGUUAUCCGGAAUUAUUGGGCGUAAAGAGGGAGCAGGCGGCAGCAAAGGUCUGUGGUGAAAGACUGAAGCUUAACUUCAGUAAGCCAUAGAAACCGGGCAGCUAGAGUGCAGGAGAGGAUCGUGGAAUUCCAUGUGUAGCGGUGAAAUGCGUAGAUAUAUGGAGGAACACCAGUGGCGAAGGCGACGAUCUGGCCUGCAACUGACGCUCAGUCCCGAAAGCGUGGGGAGCAAAUAGGAUUAGAUACCCUAGUAGUCCACGCCGUAAACGAUGAGUACUAAGUGUUGGAAGUCAAAUUUCAGUGCUGCAGUUAACGCAGUAAGUACUCCGCCUGAGUAGUACGUUCGCAAGAAUGAAACUCAAAGGAAUUGACGGGGGCCCGCACAAGCGGUGGAGCAUGUGGUUUAAUUCGAAGCAACGCGAAGAACCUUACCAGGUCUUGACAUACUCAUAAAGGAUCCAGAGAUGGAUAGAUAGUUAUAUGAGAUACAGGUGGUGCAUGGUUGUCGUCAGCUCGUGUCGUGAGAUGUUGGGUUAAGUCCCGCAACGAGCGCAACCCUUGUCGUUAGUUACCAUCAUUAAGUUGGGGACUCUAGCGAGACUGCCAGUGACAAGCUGGAGGAAGGCGGGGAUGACGUCAAAUCAUCAUGCCCCUUAUGACCUGGGCUACACACGUGCUACAAUGGAUGGUGCAGAGGGAAGCGAAGCCGCGAGGCGAAGCAAAACCCAUAAAACCAUUCUCAGUUCGGAUUGUAGUCUGCAACUCGACUACAUGAAGUUGGAAUCGCUAGUAAUCGCGAAUCAGCAUGUCGCGGUGAAUACGUUCUCGGGCCUUGUACACACCGCCCGUCACACCAUGAGAGUUGAUAACACCCGAAGCCGGUGGCCUAACCGAAAGGAAGGAGCUGUCUAAGGUGGGAUUGAUGAUUGGGGUGAAGUCGUAACAAGGUAUCCCUACGGGAACGUGGGGAUGGAUCACCUCCUUUCUAAGGAGAAAGGCAUUAUCGAAGAUGAUGCAGAAGAGAAGUGAUGUUUCGAAGAUACUGUUUAGUUUUGAGUGAUACUCAGGUAUGACUCGGAGAUCAUUGAAAACUGGAUAAUAGAAAAUAAAUUGCGAUAGAAAUAGAAAAAGAGAUCGAAAUAGUAAAUGUUAUUAUUGAGGUCUUUCUAGAAAAGUCGAAAACUAAGAAUUUUCAUCACUAAAAAACAGAAAUCGAAACGGAUGGAAGUAUUUUAGUAAAUAGUUGAAAAUAGUAAUCAAGCAGACACCAAAAUAGGUAAAGUAAGAAAGAGCGUAUGGCGGAUGCCUAGGCACAGAGAGGCGAAGAAGGACGCAGCAAACAGCGAAAUGCGACGGUCAGCAGUAAGCAUGCAGAGAUCCGUCGAUGUCCGAAUGGGGGAACCCACCUGGAGUAGAGACCAGGUAUCCUGAAGUGAAUAAAUAGCUUCAGAGAGGCGAGACUCAGGGAACUGAAACAUCUAAGUACCUGAAGGAAGAGAAAAUAAACGAAUGAUUCCCUAAGUAGCGGCGAGCGAAAGGGGAGGAGCCCAAACCGAUCUGAGGAUCGGGGUUGUAGGACUGUCGAAAAAGAGCAAGAAGACAUUAUAGGCGAACGGAAUGGGAAGUCCGGCGAAACAGGGUGACAGCCCCGUAGCCGAAAUAGUGAAGAAGCUUGAGACAGCACCUGAGUACGGCGGGACACGAGGAAUCCUGUCGGAAUCCACCAGGACCAUCUGGUAAGGCUAAAUACUCCUCUGUGACCGAUAGUGAACC
rnacentral:rRNA from 1 species